CGGAAUCAUUGGGCGUAAAGCGCGCGUAGGUGGCCCUGUAAGUCCGUUGUGAAAGUCAAAGGCUCAACCUUUGAAAGCCGAUGGAUACUGCAGGGCUAGAGUACGGAAGAGGCGAGUGGAAUUCCUGGUGUAGCGGUGGAAUGCGCAGAUAUCAGGAGGAACACCGAUGGCGAAGGCAGGUCUCUGGGCCACUACUGACGCUGAGAAGCGAAAGCAUGGGGAGCGAACAGG
rnacentral:rRNA from 1 species